CGGUGGGUGGAAGCCCCAUCAAAUAAGCUGCUAACCACAGCAUUUGAAGCGAGUCUUGAGUCUGUCGCGGAAACGUUGCAGGCUAAGCGUAGACAGCAAGAUAACAGGGAUAGCUAUUGAGCACCGAAA
rfam:Ruminococcus sp. 5_1_39B_FAA cont1.59, whole genome shotgun sequence.